rnacentral:lncRNA from 1 species
AUCGAUGCGUAACAAACCGUUGUUAGUGCAUAUUUGGUAAAGGUAACAUCCGGUAUCAGUUGAUACCGUCAAAUACGUUUUCUAACACUAGCUUAUGUAUUACAAUUAUUACAGUUAAUAAUAUUAUGGGAAAAUUGCUAAAAGAGAAUAAAAAAAUAAGGUUGUUGUCCCUUUGGUAUAAAACCAACAUAAAGUUGUCUCAAUAGUAUAAUUUUUCUCAUAAUCCCAAAACUAACCCUAUAUUUAAUCUAGUUAAACACAAUUUGAAUUUAAAAAAAAAAGUUAAUUGAGAAAAGGAAAAAAAAAACAGUUGAAAGGCAAUCGAAAAAAGAGGUAUAAAUAUACAUCUUAGAGAACAAGAGUUUGUGAGAAGAAUAAAAAAAACUAUGGAAAAACCAUAGAUUGAUGAAGAAGAGAAGGAAUAAUCAUUUUUUUAUUUAAUUUUUUCAAGUAAAAUUGACCAUAACACGUUUUAGGAAGUUAGAAUAUUUCUAGGAGAUUUUUAGAAUAUUUGCUUAACUGAAAUUUCAUUAAUUUUCGUAAAAAAUCAGGUAUUCUUAUCCGUAGAAGGUGACUUCUAAAAGUUUAGAAGAUUGAUAA